rnacentral:rRNA from 1 species
UAGGGAAUUUUUCGGGCAAUGGGGGCGAAAGCCUGACCGAGCAAUGCCGCGUGAAUGAUGACGGUCUUCGGACUGUAAAAUUCUGUUAUCAAGGAAGAAAGCAACUUUUAGGAAAUGACUAGUUGUUGACGGUACUUGAUUAGAAAGCCCCGGCUAACUAUGUGCCAGCAGCCGCGGUAAUACAUAGGGGGCAAGCGUUAUCCGGAAUUAUUGGGCGUAAAGCGUGCGUAGGUUGUUAAUUAAGUCUGAUGUGAAAGCCCACGGCUUAACCGUGGAGGGUCAUUGGAAACUGGUUAACUAGAAUCCAGAAGGGGUAAGUGGAAUUCCAUGUGGAGCGGUAAAAUGCUUAGAUAUAUGGAGGAACACCAGUGGCGAAGGCGGCUUACUGGUCUGGUAUUGACACUGAG